AUUGAACGCUGGCCGCAGGCCUAACACAUGCAAGUCGAGCGAGUAGCGGACGGGUGUGUAUUUUCUGGGAACCCGCCUGAUGGAGGGGGAUAACUACUGGAAACUGGAGCUAUUACCCCUUACUAUCACAUGUGCCCAGAUGGGAUUAUCUAGUAGGUGGGGUAACCGCUCACCUAGGCGACGAUCCCUAGCUGGGCUGAUAGGAUUACCAGCCACACUGGAACUGAGACACGGUCCAGACUCCUACGGGAGGAAGCAGUGGGGAAUAGGGAACAAUGGGCGCAAGCCUGAUGCAGCCAUGCCGCGUGUGUGAAGAAGGCCUUCGGGUUGUAAAGCACUUUCAGGGGGGAGGCGUUACCCGCAGAGGAAGCACCGGCAAACUCCGUGCCAGCAGCCGCGGUAAUUC
rnacentral:rRNA from 1 species